ACACGAGAAGGGAGGUGGUUCGGCAGAUGUAUGGAUACCGGACGCGUGAGGUGACUGCGGGCUAGCGCCUGCCAGUCGCACACUUUGUGUGGUGCCGGCACGACGCCGGCCGCAAUUCCCAGCAGUCACCGACCCGCGGGCUCGCCGGUACGUCCGGCCGGCUCCUCUCCGGAGGAACCCGAGCCCGCGGGUUUCUGCAU
rnacentral:sRNA from 1 species